UACGUAGGGUGCGAGCGUUAAUCGGAAUUACUGGGCGUAAAGGGCUCGUAGGCGGCCAACUAAGUCAGACGUGAAAUCCCUCGGCUUAACCGGGGAACUGCGUCUGAUACUGGAUGGCUUGAGAUUGGGAGAGGGAUGCGGAAUUCCAGGUGUAGCGGUGAAAUGCGUAGAUAUCUGGAGGAACACCGGUGGCGAAGGCGGCAUCCUGGACCAACACUGACGCUGAGGAGCGAAAGCCAGGGGAGCAAACGGG
rnacentral:rRNA from 1 species